rnacentral:rRNA from 1 species
AACGAACGCUGGCGGCAUGCCUAACACAUGCAAGUCGAACGAUGCCUUCGGGCAUAGUGGCGCACGGGUGCGUAACGCGUGGGAAUCUGCCCUUGGCUUCGGAAUAACAGUUAGAAAUGACUGCUAAUACCGGAUGAUGUCUUCGGACCAAAGAUUUAUCGGCCAGGGAUGAGCCCGCGUAGGAUUAGGUAGUUGGUGGGGUAAAGGCCUACCAAGCCGACGAUCCUUAGCUGGUCUGAGAGGAUGAUCAGCCACACUGGGACUGAGACACGGCCCAGACUCCUACGGGAGGCAGCAGUGGGGAAUAUUGGACAAUGGGGGGAACCCUGAUCCAGCAAUGCCGCGUGAGUGAUGAAGGCCUUAGGGUUGUAAAGCUCUUUUACCAGGGAUGAUAAUGACAGUACCUGGAGAAUAAGCUCCGGCUAACUCCGUGCCAGCAGCCGCCGUAACAC